rnacentral:rRNA from 1 species
GACAGAGGGGGCAAGCGUUGUCCGGAGUUACUGGGCGUAAAGCGCGGGCAGGCGGUUGCUCAAGUCUGAUGUGAAAGCGCUUGGCUCAACCAAGCGAUGCCAUUGGAAACUGGGCAACUGGAGUCUGGCAGAGGUAGGCGGAAUUCCCAGUGUAGUGGUGAAAUACGUAGAGAUUGGGAAGAACACCAGUGGCGAAGGCGGCUAUCUGGACGGUUUCUGACGCUAAGACGCGAAAGCGUGGGGAGCAAACAGG